UACGAAGGGGGCUAGCGUUGUUCGGAAUUACUGGGCGUAAAGCGCACGUAGGCGGCUUGUUAAGUCAGGGGUGAAAUCCUGGAGCUCAACUCCAGAACUGCCUUUGAUACUGUCUGUCUUGAGUCCGGGAGAGGUGAGUGGAAUUCCUAGUGUAGAGGUGAAAUUCGUAGAUAUUAGGAAGAACACCAGUGGCGAAGGCGGCUCACUGGCCCGGUACUGACGCUCAUGUGCGAAAGCGUGGGGAGCAAACAGG
rnacentral:rRNA from 1 species